AACGCUAGCUACAGGCUUAACACAUGCAAGUCGAGGGGCAGCAUGGUCUUAGCUUGCUAAGGCCGAUGGCGACCGGCGCACGGGUGAGUAACACGUAUCCAACCUGCCGUCUACUCUUGGACAGCCUUCUGAAAGGAAGAUUAAUACAAGAUGGCAUCAUGAGUCCACAUGUUCACAUGAUUAAAGGUAUUCCGGUAGACGAUGGGGAUGCGUUCCAUUAGAUAGUAGGCGGGGUAACGGCCCACCUAGUCUUCGAUGGAUAGGGGUUCUGAGAGGAAGGUCCCCCACAUUGGAACUGAGACACGGUCCAAACUCCUACGGGAGGCAGCAGUGAGGAAUAUUGGUCAAUGGGCGAGAGCCUGAACCAGCCAAGUAGCGUGAAGGAUGACUGCCCUAUGGGUUGUAAACUUCUUUUAUAAAGGAAUAAAGUCGGGUAUGGAUACCCGUUUGCAUGUACUUUAUGAAUAAGGAUCGGCUAACUCCGUGCCAGCAGCCGCGGUAAUACGGAGGAUCCGAGCGUUAUCCGGAUUUAUUGGGUUUAAAGGGAGCGUAGAUGGAUGUUUAAGUCAGUUGUGAAAGUUUGCGGCUCAACCGUAAAAUUGCAGUUGAUACUGGAUAUCUUGAGUGCAGUUGAGGCAGGCGGAAUUCGUGGUGUAGCGGUGAAAUGCUUAGAUAUCACGAAGAACUCCGAUUGCGAAGGCAGCCUGCUAAGCUGCAACUGACAUUGAGGCUCGAAAGUGUGGGUAUCAAACAGGAUUAGAUACCCUGGUAGUCCACACGGUAAACGAUGAAUACUCGCUGUUUGCGAUAUACAGCAAGCGGCCAAGCGAAAGCGUUAAGUAUUCCACCUGGGGAGUACGCCGGCAACGGUGAAACUCAAAGGAAUUGACGGGGGCCCGCACAAGCGGAGGAACAUGUGGUUUAAUUCGAUGAUACGCGAGGAACCUUACCCGGGCUUAAAUUGCAGAUGAAUUACGGUGAAAGCCGUAAGCCGCAAGGCAUCUGUGAAGGUGCUGCAUGGUUGUCGUCAGCUCGUGCCGUGAGGUGUCGGCUUAAGUGCCAUAACGAGCGCAACCCUUGUUGUCAGUUACUAACAGGUUCCGCUGAGGACUCUGACAAGACUGCCAUCGUAAGAUGUGAGGAAGGUGGGGAUGACGUCAAAUCAGCACGGCCCUUACGUCCGGGGCUACACACGUGUUACAAUGGGGGGUACAGAGGGCCGCUACCACGCGAGUGGAUGCCAAUCCCAAAAACCUCUCUCAGUUCGGACUGGAGUCUGCAACCCGACUCCACGAAGCUGGAUUCGCUAGUAAUCGCGCAUCAGCCACGGCGCGGUGAAUACGUUCCCGGGCCUUGUACACACCGCCCGUCAAGCCAUGGGAGCCGGGGGUACCUGAAGUGCGUAACCGCGAGGAGCGCCCUAGGGUAAAACUGGUGAC
rnacentral:rRNA from 1 species